GCUUACGGCCACACCGCCUGGUAUCACGCUUUGAUCUCGGAAGAUAAGGUAGGUUGGGCCUGGUUAGUACUUGGAUGGGAGACCGCCUGGGAAUACCAGGUGCUGUAAGCU
rnacentral:rRNA from 1 species